CCUACGGGAGGCAGCAGUGGGGAAUAUUGGGCAUUGGGCGCAAGCCUGACCCAGCAACGCCGCGUGAAGGAAGAAGGCUUUCGGGUUGUAAACUUCUUUUCUCAGGGACGAAGCAAGUGCCGGUCCUUGCGGAAUAAGCCACGCUUAAUUACGUGCAAGCAGCCGCGGUAAUACGGGGGUGGCAAGCGUGAUCCGGAUUUACUGGGUGUAAAGGGCGUGUAGGCGGGACUAGAAGUCAGAUGUGAAAACCACGGGCUCAACCUGUGGCCUGCAUUUGAAACGGUAGUUCUUGAGUACUGGAGAGGCAGACGGAAUUCCUAGUGUAGCGGUGAAAUGCGUAGAUAUUAGGAGGAACACCAGUGGCGAAGGCGGUCUGCUGGACAGCAACUGACGCUGAGGCGCGAAAGCGUGGGGAGCAAACAGGAUUAGAUACCCCGGUAGUC
rnacentral:rRNA from 1 species